rfam:Ixodes scapularis strain Wikel colony gcontig_1108379782722, whole genome shotgun sequence.
GCGGCCGUAGCCUAACGGUCAUCGCGCUUGCUUUCCACGCAAAAGGCCGGCGUUCGAUUCCUGGCCGCG